rnacentral:misc_RNA from 1 species
AUUUGUGGUCAUUCCCUGUCCAUCUAGCUAGGAGAUGACACCAGCCAGAGUGCGUGGUUCCUCCCUCACCACUUCCGGCCUGGGUUGUGAAUAGAUUUUAUAGGUUUUUUGUUUGUAGUUUUGUGCUUCAUGGUUAGGGUUUAGAGAUGAUCUGCGCUGCUGAAUUUUCAGAUGCUUGAAUCCAAGGGCUUCCCCAGUUGGCUGGUAACUUUAAGGAGGCGAUGGUUCUGAACCAGAUGUUGGUCGCCGGUCCCUGGUCUAUCCUAAGCUCUGUAAUCUGUCAUGCCGUUCCCGGUUCUCCAGCAUAUCCAUGGUUACUCGUUCUUCCUCUACAGUAGCUUGACUCCUAGCCUAUGUCCAGGGAUUAUGUUGUUGGUAGGGAAUCUUGGUCAGGUUUCGGGCAGGCUGUUAGCUUUGCUGAUCUUUUGAGUCCCUUACGUUAUGCUUCUAGAGUAUGUGUAGUCCCCUUUGGCAGAUGGUGGUUCCCAG